AACCACUUCCUUAUCUUCUUAAUUCUUUUAUCUUACAAUCUGUUUACAUUUCCUUUUCUAUGUUUACUCCUGUUUCUUGCUUAUUUCUUAUUUUCUUUUAUGGCUCAUUAAAAAUCUGAUCACAAACAGGAAAUACAAGAAAAUGAUGCUCCAUAAUGGAAACUAUAGCCAAAUUAAAUUCUUUGGCAGUGGGAAAAAAUGGUAGAAGGAAUUAUGCAAAGUUGAGAGGACAACUGAAGAAGAAAGCUGAUGUUCUCCAGUGAAGUUGAGGAUUAACUAACUACAAGACUCUGGAUUUGUAACAGGAGGGAAAGCAGCAGGGCACAACUUCUGAGAGGAUGACUUAGCACAAGAAUGCAACAGAAACCGAUUAGAAUCAAAUGGGAUCAAGGUGACAGACAAGACUAGACCUUAAUCCUCAAUCAACAAGUGAAAUGACACGUCCAGAGGUGCCAUGACAGUUCCAUGGAACUGUUAAAAGACCAAGGAGUAGGCGGUGGCCCAAAUCCUGGAAAUCUCCACCCCUUCGAAUAAUCCUCCCACUCAUUAGCAUACGAAAUUACCCAGCCUGU